rnacentral:lncRNA from 1 species
CCUGUUCUAAGCUAGUUUUCAGACCUUUGAGACCCAAAAUUCGCUUCACUUGUAUUAAAUUACAACUUUGGAUUCGAGGCCUAAAUGAAUGAAUAAAUAAAUGACUAAAAUAAAUAAAUAAAAAUAAGGCAAUAAUAAAAAUCAAGACUUUUCAAGUCUCUUAAUAACCGCAUCAAAGGGUUUUGACCCAUUUUCCUUCUUCUUUCAUCAUCUUGCACCCGCAUGUCAUAUAAUCGAUUAUGAGUUCAAACUUCGGACUUGACUCUGAGAGAUAAGCCUCAUUGGCCCAUUAUGAAAUGCAAGAGGAAAGGAGUCCAUUUGAACUCCAAAACAGAUUCUUGAAGAGAAAAGGAUAAAAGAAAAAGAAUUAAUAUAUGUUCAAAAAUUUACACUUAAGAGAUAAAUGAUGAGAUGAAAAAAAUAGCAUUCUCGAGCAUAAAGAAAUAGUAAGCUAUGAUAUCAAAGUAAGCUAAAUUAUCCAACGAAAAGGAAAUUAACCCAUCUCCUAAAUAAUUUUACAAAAAAUUGAUUCUAGCACAAUAUAAUUAACUAGCCCUUGAAAAUAAGACAUGAAUCCACAAGCAUAGUUGCUUAAAAUUUGGACAAUUAGAUUAACACAUUGUCAUGCUCCUAUUUUUACCUAACGUCGAAACGUGCAUGACAUUAUGAACUCUAAAAAAAAUUAAUUUCGUACAGAGUCGCCACCUAAUUUUUAAGGAAAAAUAGGAAACCUAUUUAUUUGCUUAACAUAUAUGACUUUAUUUAAUCUACGAAAUAAGUUUGAAUUCUAGGUAAGAGUUCAAAUUAUUCCGAAGGGAAGGGGUUAGACACCCUUCAGAAUCCACAAAUGUGGUUCCCGGCCAUAUUUAGGUUUAUUAAAAGUGAGAAAAAAAUUAUUUCCUCCGUCCCAUUUUAUGUAUCAUCAUUUCCUUUUUUGUCCGUCCCAAAAAGAAUGUCACCUUUCCUUAUUUGGUAACUAUUUAAAGACACAAUUACACUUUUAUCUUUAUUGGUCUCAUUUAUAAGGGCCCACUUAAUUAAAAAUAAUAAUAGUACAUUAUUUUAAUGAAUGACAAUUUGGUAAAAAAACAUCAAGUUUUUACUUAUUUUUUAAAUUUCGUGCUCGACUAAAUGACGACACAUAAAAUGGAACACAGGGAGUAAUAUUUAUAAAUACAAACAUAAAAUAUGUAUUAAAAUAAUAUUAAUCCAUAUCGUGCUGCAAAAUAUAUAUAAACAAAAAUAUAUAAAUAUAUAUAUGUCAAGAAAAAACAAGAUUGAAUAAAGAAAAAUUGUUCUAAUGGAAAAGACUACGUAAUAUUUUUUAGUGUAAAAAAUAUAAAUUAUUUGAUUAAAUAAUCUAAGUCAAUCUAAUAUUUUUAUAUAAAUAACAGUCUAAAUUUGCCUAAGCGCGUGAUAAAGAUUGCAUAAAUAACAAAUAUCCCGCACAACAUCCGAAAAAUAAAGUUUUACACUAAGAUAAUAUUUGUACAAGUAAAAAAAAUAUGAAAGUACCAACACAUUUUAAAGUCUUCUUUAAAUGUCUUUUCCAACGAAUAUUCUCAAACACCUAAAACACUUGUAACAAAAAUGUUAGUAACAAAUAAAUAAUUAUCAAAAUAAAUUUAAAAAAUAUGUGUGCAUAUAUGUAUUUAGAAAUAUAAUUUUCAUUAAAAAGUGGACUCGGAUAAAUUUUAAAUACAUCAUAGCUACGAAGUGAUUGCUUAAUUGAUUGGUUGUCCUAAAUCGCCUUGCAAAGAUACAAACCAUAAAAUCCUUUUGCGUUGUUAUAAAAAAUUUCGUCAUCACCUAAAAUAUUUAUUUUUAUUAUAUAUUUAUAUAUGUAACAUUCGUCUUUCUAUAAAUUAUUUAUAGAGGCCUCGAAAAUCGACGGAUAGAUAAUAUCAUUGACCGAUUAUUAAUAUUUUAUUCAAUUCAAUUUAACAAACUUAAAAAAAAAAAUAAAGUCAAAAAAGGAAGCCUAAAAUUUAACAGAAAGUGGCAGACAAUAAAAAUAAUAAAAACAUCUAAAUAUUGACAUAGGUUGUCGAAAAUACAGCAAAACUAAUCCUUUCACAGUGAGCAAACAGUAGCAAAAUACAGAAAUAAUCAACAAAAAGUAAACAUGAUGUUCGCCGGAAUUCAUGGAGCUUCAUCAGAACACUCUUCUUUUCGCGAAUCAGUCAAACCACAAGGAACAAAUUGUAUCCAGCAAAGUCAGGAAAACAAAAUAUACAAUGACACAUAAAUCACAAACAAAACUCAAUUAAAGGGAGUAUUUUCGACAAACCAUAACAAUAAAUGGAGAAGGAAACGGCGUAUUCACCGGAGCAACAUAAUAUUCACAAUCACAAUAAUUAACAAAAAAUAAAGCCCAAAACAAGGGGCAGUAGCGGCAUGGUGGCAACGGCACAACGGCGUUAGCUGGAACAACGCCGAAAAAUCAAAACUGACCAAAUCUGGCUCAUUUUUGUGCAACAAUAGUGAGGGAGCAACGGUGGAUUUUGAGACUUCGCCAGCCAUCGCCUCCGACGAAGAAGUAGCGGAAAGGGGCAUAAAAGAAGGGGGAAGAAGGGGCGGGGCAGGUGGAGUUAUGGAGUUCGCCGGCAGCCAGAUCCGGCGAAAUCCGGCAGGAAGAGGGGAGAAAGAGAGAGAUCGAAAGGAGGUGCGGUGGUGGCUGGACGUUGGUGGUCGAAGAUCGGCCCGCGGUUAAAUCCGGCGGUCGACACUGACUGGUUGAGGGAGAGAGCGUGGAGUGAGAGAGAGAAAAUGUGAGGGAUGGCUGAGUGUGUGAUCUGCCUGUGCAGUGUGUGUAUAUUAAAGAAAUUCUAAAGAAAGUAAAAAGUAGUAUUAAAAAUAAAAAACAAAUAAAUAAAAUAUUAAAUUUACUUUUUUUUUCAACACAUUUUUUAAAUUAUGAAUAGUAGGUAAAGAAAAAGUCAAGUGUCAUAACGAUGAUGAGACCUCAACCUAAUUAAUUUGUUCCUCUAUGUAUUAAAAUAAUUGACCUGACUCAACUUUUACGGAUUGUAAUAAAUGUACGAAAAUAUAAAUAUUGAUAUGUAAUUAUAGAAAAAAAAUAAGGAAUAUUGAAAUUAAUGUAAUUAAUUUAAAAUACUGUAAAAAUGUGACAUCAUGUCGUGC